rnacentral:sRNA from 1 species
UCUUCCUCGUCUUCUUCUCCAGUGUUUAUCA